rnacentral:rRNA from 1 species
GAUGAACGCUGGCGGCGUGCCUAAUACAUGCAAGUCGAGCGAACAGACGAGGAGCUUGCUCCUCUGACGUUAGCGGCGGACGGGUGAGUAACACGUGGAUACCCUACCUAUCAGACUGGGAUCACUUCGGGAAACCGGCGCUAAUACCGGAUAAUAUCUUGAACCGCAUGGUUCAAUAGUGAAAGACGGCUUUGCUGUCACUUAUAGAUGGAUACGCGCCGCAUUAGCUAGUUGGUAAGGUAACGGCUUACCAAGGCGACGAUGCGUAGCCGACCUGAGAGAGUGGUCGGCCACACUGGAACUGGAACACGGUCCAGACGCCUACGGGAGGCAGCAGUAGGGAAUCGUCCGCAAUGGGCGAAAGCCUGACGGAGCAACGCCGCGUGAGUGAUGAAGGUCUUCGGAUCGUAAAACUCUGUUAUUAGGGAAGAACAAAUGUGUAAGUAACUAUGCACGUCUUGACGGUACCGAAUCAGAAAGCCACGGCUAACUACGUG